AGUAGUUUGAUCCUGGCUCGAGGACGAACGCUGGCGGCGUGCCUAACACAUGCAAGUCGAACGGAGCUAAGAAGCUUGCUUUUAGCUUAGUGGCGGACGGGUGAGUAAAGCGUGAGCAACCUGCCUAUUAGAGGGGGAUAACUUCCGGAAACGGAUGCUAAUACCGCAUAUAGUACAUAAUUCGCAUGGAUAAGUGUAUGAAAGGAGCAAUCCGCUGAUAGAUGGGCUCACGUCCGAUUAGUUUGUUGGUGGGGUAAUGGCCUACCAAGACCGCGAUCGGUAGCCGGGCUGAGAGGCUGAACGGCCACAUUGGGACUGAGAUACGGCCCAGACUCC
rnacentral:rRNA from 1 species